rnacentral:lncRNA from 1 species
CGAUCAUAAUUGAAAGAAUAUGAUUAAAAUAAAAUAUAACAUAAUAAUAUAUGUUAAAAAAUUAAUUUAACAAUAUAUAUUAUCAAUAAAAUAAAAUAUUAUUAAAAAUAUAUAUAUUCAACUAAAUUUGUGAGUCUCGGAGUUGAGUAUUUCGCUACUCAAGUCAUAUAACAGUUAAGACAUAUAACAGUUAAAAAUAUAUUAUUAAAAAUAUAUAUACUUAAGUUUGGAUCCGAGUCGAGCUCACGCGCUACUCAGUUCUUUUGCACCCCCAG